GGAAAGAGUAAUUGGGCGGGUGGGGUAGGAAGCGGGAAACAACAAAUGCAAAGGGCUUGAGCUUGGAUGUGAACUUGAAGGAAAGAAAACCAGAGAGGCGGGAGCAUAGUAAGCAAGAGAAGAAAAGGAUACAUUGAUGACAUCAGAGUGGGGAAGAGAGACCAGGUAAUGUACAGAAUUUCAGGCCAAGGUAAGGACUUGGGAUUUUAUACAAACCCACAUUUGAAAUCCACCGGAGCAUACUAAGCAGGGGAGCGAAGAUAAACAUUUAUUUAACAAAGAUUUGUUUGACAACCUACUGUAUACGAGUCAUUUCCUAGUCAUGAGGGUCUAUGCCAGGCCCGGCCUCUGCUCUCAUGGAACUUACAUUCGAGUGAAACAAAUUAAAUGAACCCAGCGACAGGCAAACACCAGGGAAUGAUAAAUUUUAUAAAGAAGAUGAAGUCAAAAAGUGCGGCAGAAAGUGACCUGCAGGCUACUAUAGACUGAGUGCAGGAGAAAUGGCCAACACAGUGGCCCCAACUGAGAAACAAAUGCGCUAGAAUGUUUGAGGUAAGAACCAAAGACAGAGGGGCAAGAUGGGGAGAGUGGUUCAAAACUGAGGUCAAAGAAGAAAUGAAAAUGUAGGUAACGUUUAGAUUAAGAAAAUGAAAAGGCAUUGGAAGGUUUUAAACACGAUGUCUUCAUCUGUUUGAGCUGCUAUAGCAAAACACCAUAAAUGGGGCGGCUUCUAAGAAAUAGAAAUUUCUCUCUCCCAGUCCUGGAGCUGAAAGUUCAAGAUCAAGGCACCGGCGGUGUCCAUGUCUGGUAAGCGCUUGCUUCCUGGUUUAUGGGCGGCUGUCCUCUCAUUGUACCUUCCCAUGGCGGAAGGGGUGAGGGGGCUCCGCGGGGUCUCUUGUGAGAGCACACAUCUCAUUCGUGACAGUUUCACACUCAUCACCUAAGCAUCUCCCAAGGCCCCACGUUCAAAUACUAUCACGUUGAGCAUUAGGUUUCAAUGUCUGAACUGCGGAGGGACACAAACAUUCAGUAUUAACACUGGAGAACAACGUCCACUGACUUUUACUCUAAAGGUAUAAUGGGCUUCAGUGCAGAGAAUGGAUUGCUAGGGUGGAGAUGGGGUUGAGAGGAAGCUGUUUAAGAAAGCACAGCGGUAACUUAGGCCCCAAAUGACGGUACCUUGGACAAGUACCGUCGUACUGAACAAGGUCAAAAGGAUUAGAUUUGGGAUCUUUCUUUUGUAGGUAAAGCCGACGGGACUCCCUAGAGGCUAUGACGUAGAAGGAAGAGGAGGACAAGGAAUUAAACUUCUGGAUUUUGGUUUGACCAGUUAAAUAAAUGGUACACCACUUACUGUGGUGGAGAAGGUAUCCUCUAUGAGGUAAAUAGUUGCAUUCCCACUUUACAGAUGAGGAAACUAAGCUUCAACAAAUAUGAUUCCAAAAUCUAUGCUUUAUCCACCACAGUGUCUUUGCCAGGAGUGUGGAUUAUCCAGGUUUGAUUAAUGGGCAUAGGAAAAAGGAUAUAUAUGGCAAAACAGGCAAGUAUCUUGACAGUGUGCGUAAAGUGCAUGUGUGCAUGCCUCUGUCUGUGUGUGUAUGUGUGCGUGUGUUCUUGUAAUCUUGCUGAGAGAAGUGUAGAUCAGCUCUCUUAUUUUUUAUCCCUUCCUUUAUCUUCUCCAUCUCUGAAAGUGGAAAGAUAGUGGAGAAAUCAGAAGACUCCGGACUUGAGACCAGCCUGUGCUGCGGGUACCAGGAUGAACUCUGACAAACUGAGUCAAUGAAGCCUCUCGAAAAACCCAAGAGGACCGGGUUGGGAGAGCUGCGUUGGUGAACGCGAGCAGGCUCAGGAGGAGUGGUGGCUGGAGAAGUCUGGAAGCCCCUGCGCCCUUUCCCCAGACCUUGCCCCUGGCAUCUUCAUCUAACCGGUGAUUCACCAGCACACCCUUUACUGAUGUAGGAAACAUCUACGCUGAAACUGUCUCUGUGGCCUAGUCUCACCUCAAAAUCUGGUCCAGGGAUCUUGAUGGAUUACUCUUUAUGACCUAGCCAUCGCACGACGGCCUUGAACGUGGAGUUAUGAAGAGAUGCUUACAGCGAGCCCUCAUGAGCCAGGGUAGCCUGGCUCCAGCACACCAGUGACUGAAGAGACAUCUAGAAGGAAAUGACAAGAGGUGGGCGGAUGUGUAAUUAUUGGGCUUACAGGAGCGGUCCCGACCAGGGUCCGCAAUCAUCAGUGUGUGAAUGAGAAUGCAUACUUUGUGGAGUCAGAGUGUCUGGGUUGGUACCCAGACUCUGCCCUUACUAGCUUUACGAUUGGGGGAAAGUGACUUAGCCUCUGUAGGUCUCAGUCUUCACACGUGUGAAUGGGGAUGAUAACAGUAGGUGAUUCAUAGAGUAGCUUCCAGAGAAAAGCGUAUGGAGAUGGAGUUGCCACACCUGUCGUAUGUCGUACGCAUGUGCAAAAUGAAAUCCUUUCUUG